ensembl:snRNA U6 U6 spliceosomal RNA
GUACUCAUUUCAGCAGCACUUAUGCUAAAAUCUGAACCAUACAAAGAAGAUUAGCAUGGUCCCUGCACAAGGAUGACAUGAAAAUUUGUGAAGCUUUCCAUGUUUUU